rnacentral:misc_RNA from 1 species
CAGCAAGGCGCCUGGCUUCU